GAAGAAAAGCAAAAGAAAGAAUGAUGAAGAUGUGAAACAUAAAGAAAGCAAAAGAGGGGGCCCACCCACUGGUGUUUGUUUUGUUUUGUCUAUCGGAUUCGGACGGAACAAUUGGCUGCUGGCUGCGCAGAGCAGAGAGUGAGGUCGGAGUCUGUGUCAUAUCAAACUGCCUCCAUCACUAUCAUCAUCACUAUCUUUCUCUGCUUCUAAUGCAUUGCCCCUCCCCCUUCUCAUAUUCAAAUGCUUCAAC
rnacentral:lncRNA from 1 species